CCUGAGAAUUUUUUCAGGAGAUCUCAAAUAAUCUAUACUAGUACUACUAACAGCAGCAAUCAAUCUAAAUCUCCAACUACCGCUAAAUCUCCAACUAUCACUAAAUCUCCAACUAUUGCUAAAUCUCCAACUAUCGCUACGUCACCAACCACUGACAACAACCACGAAUAUUGUUAUCAUCUUGCAAUGAUAACAAAGCAAAAAAUAAUGACUCAGCUGUUUUCCUCGCAAAUGCCAAAUUGGUUCACUUUGGAACUUUUAAUUUGUUAUUAGAGCUUCAUUAAUCACAUUUCUUUGGUCAUCAACUUGUUAGACUCUAUUAGUCAAACUCCAUUCCAUAUAUUAAAAUGUGUUCACAGCAGCUUCAUAUCACAUACCUACUUAUUCUCAUCUCUUGGCUGUUUUUUUUUUUUUAAUUGUGAGCAGUACUCGAUUUGCUCUUUUGACAGCUAUGUUCUCUCUCAUACCAGGUGGAGGAUUUGUUGCCUCCAGUGUUCUCCGUGACCCCUAAGGGCCCCCUUUUUUAUGUUUGUCACAAUGACUCUGCCCCUCUCUCUGCAUCAUUGCUUGAUGAAUACUACUUUACAUAAGAAAUAGAAAAAAAAAAAGAAAUAGGAAAAAAGAAGUGCAGGAAUGUAACUGCUGUAAGUGCAAGUUAAGUACUAGUCGAAGUGCAAGUUAGGAAGGGAGGUGCUCUCUGAAGAGUUGGGUCUUCAAGAGCUUCUUCAAAAGGUAGAGAGGGACGCCCCUGCUCUGGUAGUGCCAGGCAGUUCGUUCCACCAACGUGGAACUACAAAUGAGAAUAGUCUGGAUUACUGUACUUGCUCAAAUGGCAGUGCAAAACGACGCUCACUAGACGAGCGCAGCAUCCUGGGUGUAACAUUUAAGUAGCUGGGAGCAGAACCAGCAAUCACUCUGUAGGCAAGCAUAAGUGACUUGAACUUAAUGUGAGCAGCUACAGGCAGGCUGGUAGAGAAAUAAAGGGGUAAAUACACAGAGUCAGCGAACAGGGCGCCCCAGGAGGUAGGAAAUUAAACCCGCUACCCUGAACCUGUUAUGAUGUGUGUCUGUGUGUGUCUAUAUUGUAACAGGUUGCAGGGUGGGCAGUCCAGUAAACUGAGGAAUCAGUCGGCAGGGGAGGUUAAAAGACGGUUUUAAUUCAGAAAACUCACACAAACAGGUACAAUCAAGGGUUCUCUUCAAACAAAGGCAAAGAGAGGUUUUUCACACCCAACUCAAAAGUCCACCACAAAAUGUUCCUUGUCCCUCUUCCUUCAGGGUUGUACAAUAAACAUAAACGUCAGGUUACUUUCCUUGUCGGUUCUCAGUUCGUCCGUCCAGGUCCUUUCCGGCUUGGGGCUAUCCUUCCCCCUUCCGGAUGCGGCUGCAGCAAGCACUUCAGCAAGCGUUUCAGCAAGCGUUUAGGCAAACACUUCACAGUUGAAAUGAACCAAGUAUUUGUCUGUCAACCAAUUUAAGAGCCUUUUAGAUAAUAAGGAUUUGCCUCAAUGCUGUUGUUUUAAAUGAUUCUCUGAUUUAAUUUUUUUAAUGUUAUUUUAUUUAUUUAUUUUUUAUACUUAAUUUAUGAGUUGUUUAAUGUGUUUUUUUUAUUUAUUUUGUCUGUUUUGUUUUGUUAUGGUUUGUUUAUUUCACUUAAGUUUAAUAAUUUCCUUAUUUCUCCAUGGAGCUUUUUGUUUGGCUAAAACCUUUUUUUGUUUCAAUGGUGCUACAGAGUCGAGUGCUGUCCUUAAUUUUAUAUUGAGAGUAGUUACUAGAUCAUUAACACAUGAUGGCCACGCAUCUGGGGUUUUUGUACUAGUUAUGUUCAUCAUUACUUUGAAAUUCUCAGCUGCUGCAGAGUUAACAUAGCGUUUCUUAAUAAAACAUUCAGCACUAUUUUUAACUUUAAUAUUCAAGUCAUAUGAUCAUAAAUAAACGGGUGCUUGGAACUUUUCACCCUACCCCUCAUUCACAGUUGACCUAUGGACUACUGCUGCCUUUCCACAAGUCUUCAGGUGCCACAGGGAUCACAGCACUGUUGGAAGACCACCCGACCUGCAGAGCGCACCUUGACAUGCUGUUUCCACCUCUUUUUGCCUACAUAGGAUGCAGGAUGCCCCCCUUCUCAGCCAAAUGUAAG
ensembl:lncRNA